rnacentral:tRNA from 1 species
GGGCGAGUAGCCGAAUUGGUAUAGGCGCGCGGCUUAGAACCGCGUUCCGCAAGGAGUGUGGGUUCAAGUCCCACCUCGCCCA